UACAAGGCAGCAGUGGGGAAUAUUGCACAAUGGGCGCAAGCCUGAUGCAGCCAUGCCGCGUGUAUGAAAAAGGCCUUCGGGUUGUAAAGUACUUUCAGUCGUGAGGAAGGUGUUAAGGUUAAUAACCUUAGCAAUUGACGUUAGCGACAGAAGAAGCACCGGCUAACUCCGUGCCAGCAGCCGCGGUAAUACGGAGGGUGCGAGCGUUAAUCGGAAUUACUGGGCGUAAAGGGCACGCAGGCGGUUAAUUAAGUUGGAUGUGAAAUCCCCGGGCUUAACCUGGGAAUGGCAUUCAAGACUGGUUAGCUAGAGUCUUGUAGAGGGGGUAGAAUUCCAUGUGUAGCGGUGAAAUGCGUAGAGAUGUGGAGGAAUACCGGUGGCGAAGGCGGCCCCUGGACAAAGACUGACGCUCAUGUGCGAAAGCGUGGGGAGCAAACAGGGAUUAGAUACC
rnacentral:rRNA from 1 species